rnacentral:lncRNA from 1 species
UCAUUAACUCCAGUUCUCCGAUAUUGAAUGAUUUCUCACACCAACAGAUUGAUGCUAGGAGGGCUUUUGACCCAUUUUUGAAGGAGCGUAGAUUGAAAGCAGAUAUUAUGCCACUAAAGUGAGUCUCAUUCUGUCUUACCAAUUCCAUCGCCUCCCGAUGAGCGGAGAGCAAUGCCCAUAAAAAUUAGGUACAACCACCUGCAACAGAGACUCCUCUGCCAAUCCAGC